rnacentral:lncRNA from 1 species
UAUUCAGCUCGGCUAACACCCCUAAAUAGCAUAUAAUUGUAUUGAGGACUUAAGGUGUGUGUGUCAUAUUUUAUACGUCACUUAAUAAUUGAUUUUGGUGAACAACAAUAAGGUGAUGAGAACUCGACUUUAAAAGCGUCAAAAAUACACACCAUUGGAAUGAACAAGAUAGUAAUCUUCUCGUUCUUCUUUGGGGUCUAUUGGGUC